UGCAGUUUCAUACAUAUCUCUUGC
rnacentral:siRNA from 1 species